UCCUACAUGGGUCUAGUGGUUCAGGAAUUCCUGGCUUUCACCCAGGCGGCCCGGGUUCGAUUCCCGGUGUAGGAA
rnacentral:tRNA from 1 species